rnacentral:rRNA from 1 species
UGGGGAAUUUUGGACAAUGGACGCAAGUCUGACCCAGCCAUGCCGCGUGCGGGAAGAAGGCCUUCGGGUUGUAAACCGCUUUUGUCAGGGAAGUAACGAGUUUCUCUAAUACAGAGACUUAAUGACGGUACCUGAAGAAUAAGCACCGGCUAACUACGUGCCAGCAGCCGCGGUAAUACGUAGGGUGCGAGCGUUAAUCGGAAUUACUGGGCGUAAAGCGUGCGCAGGCGGUGAUGUAAGACAGAUGUGAAAUCCCCGGGCUCAACCUGGGACCUGCAUUUGUGACUGCAUCGCUGGAGUGCGGCAGAGGGGGAUGGAAUUCCGCGUGUAGCAGUGAAAUGCGUAGAUAUGCGGAGGAACACCGAUGGCGAAGGCAAUCCCCUGGACCUGUACUGACGCUCAUGCACGAAAGCGUGGGGAGCAAACA